GAGAGAGAGAGAGGCAGGGAGAGAGAGAGAGAGGGAGAGGGAGAGAGAAAGGGUGUGUGUGUGUGUGUCAUGCAGCUGCUGUGUAAUGGUCAACAUCUAGGUGCUCCAAUGACACACUCCAGAUGACGUCUCCACUGGAUCAGUUGGAGGUCCUGACCAUCAUGUUCUCACUCCUGGUUUUCGCCCUCUUCACCAUUACUGGGAUGCUCAGUGAGGAGUAUGCACACUCGAAUGAGUCAAAGACGCAACCACAGAGUGAGGAGCUCAUCGUCUAACCCCACAUGAGUGUUCUGACAGAAAGGAGGGAAACUGUGCUGUGUCUUCUUCCUGUUUGGUGUCUAAUUAGGACAUGUCAGCCAAAGCCUUGUCCCAGUGUGUGAGUGUGUGUUAUCAGUUACAAGAGCAAAGUCUAAAUGGUGAACUCUGAAAGCGUGUGUGUACUUUGUUAUAGGAUCUAGUUCUGUUGACUUCCAGGAUAAGGCACAAAGGAGUGGCUUGGAUGGUACAUUGUUAAAAAAAAAAAAAAAGAAAAAAGAACAAACAAAUGCCUGCUUCAAUAAACAGUUGCAUGAAAGUCUGUCA